rnacentral:rRNA from 1 species
GACGAACGCUGGCGGCGUGCUUAACACAUGCAAGUCGAACGAUGAAGCCUUUCGGGGUGGAUUAGUGGCGAACGGGUGAGUAACACGUGGGCAAUCUGCCCUGUACUUUGGGAUAAGCCUUGGAAACGAGGUCUAAUACCGGAUAUGACUGGCCUUCGCAUGGGGGUUGGUUGAAAGUUCUGGCGGUACAGGAUGAGCCCGCGGCCUAUCAGCUUGUUGGUGGGGUAAUGGCCUACCAAGGCGACGACGGGUAGCCGGCCUGAGAGGGCGACCGGCCACACUGGGACUGAGACACGGCCCAGACUCCUACGGGAGGCAGCAGUGGGGAAUAUUGCACAAUGGGCGAAAGCCUGAUGCAGCGACGCCGCGUGAGGGAUGACGGCCUUCGGGUUGUAAACCUCUUUCGACAGGGACGAAGCGCAAGUGACGGUACCUGUAGAAGAAGCACCGGCUAACUACGU